rnacentral:rRNA from 1 species
GAUGAACGCUGGCGGCGUGCCUAAUACAUGCAAGUCGAGCGAACAGACGAGGAGCUUGCUCCUCUGACGUUAGCGGCGGACGGGUGAGUAACACGUGGAUAACCUACCUAUAAGACUGGGAUAACUUCGGGAAACCGGAGCUAAUACCGGAUAAUAUAUUGAACCGCAUGGUUCAAUAGUGAAAGACGGUUUUGCUGUCACUUAUAGAUGGAUCCGCGCCGCAUUAGCUAGUUGGUAAGGUAACGGCUUACCAAGGCGACGAUGCGUAGCCGACCUGAGAGGGUGAUCGGCCACACUGGAACUGAGACACGGUCCAGACUCCUACGGGAGGCUGCAGUAGGGAAUCUUCCGCAAUGGGCGAAAGCCUGACGGAGCAACGCCGCGUGAGUGAUGAAGGUCUUCGGAUCGUAAAACUCUGUUAUUAGGGAAGAACAAAUGUGUAAGUAACUAUGCACGUCUUGACGGUACCUAAUCAGAAAGCCACGGCUAACUACGUG